CUGGGUGGGCCUAAGCUACACGCACAAGUACAUUUUCAUAUUUUCUAUUAAGCAAGGAAUAUCAUCAAUCUGAGUAUUUUAUCAUUUUUUUAAUUUAUAUUACAAUUAAAUAUAAUGAAAAAUAUUCUAUUGGUUUCAAAAGUUGAAAAAGUGCCGGGAUUGAGUAAUAAUUUUAUUAGACGAUUCGCGCGUCUGAGGAUUUUGUUUAAUUAAUUACAAUAAUUUAAAAAUAGUAUAUUCAUUACACUAUAUUUUAUAUACACUCGAGCAUUUUAUAUUAAUAGUAAUGAAAUAAAGUUAAACCAAAUAUGAUACUUAAAGAUCAUUUAAAUCAUAUCGAAUUAUAUGCACUCUUCCAUUUUAACUAAAUAAUCAUAUUUUUGGGCAUUCUAGGUGAUCGAAAUACUAAUCAGUUAUUAUAUAAAACAUUGUAAAAACAAAUCGGUCUUUAUAAACAAUAUUUUAAAAAUAAAUUAGAUUUUUUAUGUGCAAUGUUCUUAAAAUCAAUAAUUGGAAAACUAAUCGGUCCUUCGUUAAUCUAGAAUUAACCGAAAAAUCAAAGAUUAAUUAUAAGGAUUAUAUACACUCCAGCAUUUCAUAUUAAUAUUAAUGAACCAAAGUUAAAUCAAAUAUAGUACUUAGAGGUUAUUUAAAUCAUAUCGAAUUAUAUGCACUCUUCCAUUUCAAAUCAAUAAUAAUAUUUUUGGACAUUCUGGGUGAUUGAAAUACUAAUUAAGCAGUCCUUAUAUAUAAUAUUGUAAAAACUAAUUGGUCUUUAUAUACAAUAUUUUAAAAAUUAAUUAAAAUUUUUUAAUGUACAAUGUUCUUAAAAUCAGUAAUUAGAAAAUCAAUCGGUCCUUCAUUCAUCUAGAAUUAACCAAAAAAUGGAAGAUUAAUUAUAAAGAAUAUAUACCCUCCACCAUUUCAUAUUAAUAGUAACGAACCAAAGUUAAACUAAAUAUGGUGCUUAGAGGUUAUUUAAAUCAUAUCGAAUUAUAUGCACUCUUCCAUUUCAAAUCAAUAAUAAUAUUUUUGGACAUUCUGGGUGAUUGAAAUACUAAUUAAGCAGUCCUUAUAUAUAAUAUUGUAAAAACUAAUUGGUCUUUAUAUACAAUAUUUUAAAAAUUAAAAUUAAUUUUAAUUUUUUUAUUUUAUAUCUAAAUUUUAUUGGUCAAAAAUAAAUAUUUUAUAUCCACUAAUUAUUUUAGUUUAUAUAUUGAAAUAAAUGAUAAAAUUUUGAUGUAUAAAAAUAAAAACUUUUGUUACAACAGAAGAAAAUUUAAUUUUUUAAAAAACAUAUGAGAAUUUUAAAGGGCACACAAAAAUACUGACCGUCAUAUAUUCAAGUGACCUGGUAACCUCCAUUAUUUAUAUCUCAUUCCACCCACUUCCAAUCAGUAAGCUAGUUUUGAAAAUGGCCUUUGGCAAAAAAUCAACCCAGCAAAGAGAGCAAACAACAGAAGCACAACAAACCCAGAAUCAACAAACCCAGAAUCAAGCAUCAUCUCAAAAUUACAUUGAUGUUGAAGAGGAAAUUCAAACAAAAGAAAAUGCAAGCCAGGAGGAUCAUUCACAAAACAACAAAAAGCCUUUGUUACAAGAAGUGACGAUGUUACCAACACAAAAAGGGAAAAAUGCCGGAGGAACAAAGAGAUGGAAGUGCAAACACUGUAACAAAUCUUACAGCAGCUCAUACACAAGAAUACAUCACCAUUUUUUUGGUACUCCCGUGGGUGUCAAAUCGGAAAUAGGUCGUUGCACGGCGUUGUUAGCAAAUCGACUCCUGCUUCAACAAGUAAGGAACAGAGUUGAACAAGCUGAAAAAACAGGUAUCUCCCCAUCAUUAACUCGGUCUACUGUUAACAAUAAGAUUCCAGCCACUAGUAAUCCCAUAGAAAAAGCUUUUGGUGUUUUGGAGAGACAUGAAGUCGACAUUGCAAUUGUAAGAUUUUUAUGUGCUAAUGGAAUUCCAUUCAAUGUUCUAAGAAGUUCAGAAAUGGCCGCAAUGACUACAUCACUAAAGAAUGCUCCUAAAGAUUACAAACACCCUUCGGCCGAUAGAGCGAGAACAUCAUUACCUGAUGAUUGUAAGAGAGAAGUUGAGAGAGAGUGUGCUCCAGUAACUGAUACUUGGGUGACUCAGGGGACAUCCAUAGUCUCUGAUGGGUGGACAAACAUUAAAAAGAGACCACUUAUAAUUGUUAUCGCAUCUAAUAGUCGUGGUUCCAUGUUCUUAUAUGCUGAAGAUUUUUUUUGGUGUGGAAAAACCAGGGAAAGAGAUAGCUAAUUUUCUGCUCAAAUCUAUUGACGAUAUAGGUCCUACAAAUGUCCUUCAGGUGGUGACAGACAAUGCAUCAAGUUGUAAGUUGACAGGGAGGGAGAUAGAAAAGGUACACAAACACAUAUUUUGGUCUCCAUGUGUCGUACAUACCUUGAAUUUAAUAUUCAAAGACUUUGCUGUUGCUUUUCCAUGGAUGAGAAAUACCUACAUAAAGGGAAAAAAUAUUGUCAAGUAUUUUAUAAAUCAUACCCAUGCUCAUGCUAUUUUUAGACUGCACUUGAAUUAUUGAAAGUUGCUAAAACUCGAUUUGGAUCUCAUCACUUGUUGUUGAAGAGGCUAGCACAAUGUAGGGAAGCAUUAGCUACUACUGUUGUUGUUAGGUCUUGGAAAGAUUGGGUAAAUUGUGGAGAUGAAAAUGCAAGGGAAUUAGGAAAAGAAAUUACGUCAACUAUAAAAGAUGAAGAAUUCCUGGGAAGAAGUUGAUAAUAUUUUGGCUAUUACUAAGCCAAUUUAUCAGAUGAUUAAAUUCGGUGAUGGUGAAGGACAAAAAAUGGGGGAGAUCUAUGAAAAAAUGGACUGCAUGAUUGGGGAGAUAAGUGACAUAAUGAAAAAUAAUAUACACCAAUCUGAUCAUGGGAGGAUGAAUGAUAUUUUGUUAUCUAGAUGAGAAAAGAUGAAUGUCCCCAUGCAUUGUCUAGGAUUUGCUUUGAAUCCUUAUUUUUAUGAUGUAAAUUACUUGCAAUCUCCUGCUCCCGGUGGAGAGCCCAGGCGUGCGCCAAAUUGUGAUUUAGAAGUUGUCCAGGGAGUUCUCAAGGCUUUUGAUAAAAUAGGAGAAGACGGGGAAGAACGAAGGAUCUUGCGUCAACAACUAGCAAAGUUUCAAGGGAAGGAGGGCAUGUUUGGCACACUAGCAGCGAAAGUAGAUGCUGUGACAAUGUCUCCUGUAUCAUGGUGGUCUACAUACGGGGCAGAAGCACCUCAGCUUUCGGAAAUUGCUAUUUAAAUAUUGUCCCAGCCUAUAAGUAGCUCUUCUGCUGAACGGGUAUGGAGCACGUAUUCUUACAUUCACAACGUCAAAAGGAAUCGACUAAAUUCAGUGAGGGCUGACAAGUUGGUUUUUAUUCAUAGCAAUAUUAGACUUCUUUCUCGUUUCACAUCAAGUUACAAAGAUGGGCCAUAUCGAAAGUGGGAUGUUGAUGCUGAGUCUUCGUAUUUUGAUGAUUCAGUUGCAAGACUCGAGGAUUUAAGAUGGAAAGAAGAUGAACUUGAUCAAGAAGAUGGUGUGCCUUCAUCUAAAAGGCAGAGAUAUGAGGAUUAGAUUUUAGCCUAUUGAAGUAAUCUGAUAUUCUAUGCAUUAUGUAUGUUUUACCUUUGAAUCUUUAAAGUUUUAAGUACUGAACUCUAUCAAGCUAGAAUUCUAAGUUGAAUGUUUAUCAGUGAGUGAGUUACUAUGAACUUUAGUUUUUUUAAGUAAUGAAAUUUAUAUAUUUGAUUAUCAAAUUUUGAUAUAAAAUAUAUAUUCUACAAUUUAUAUAUUCUUGAAAAUAUGUAAGUUGUAACGUAUCCUUACGUCCCACCGUACCCGUGCGUUCCCUCGUACCUAUACGUUCCUUCGUACCCGAACGUUUCUACGUCCCAAUACGUCCCUUCGUACCGGGUUCACCUUAUGUCACCUUCCACGUAUCCGUUUUCGUACCCCGUUUCGCAUCGAAUCUCGUUCUAUGUAACACUGGUUCAACUCCCGUCUCCCACCCACCUAGCAAUAAUAUCUAGCUGCAACUACUAACAACUAGAUUGUACACACAGUCAACAUACAUAGUCACUACCAUCAUAAGUAGGAUACACACUAAACCUGUUUUAAGUUGAAACUAAUUUUACAUAUAACUAAAUUAGCUACUAGUAAAUAAAAGAUAUCCCUUUUGUUAUUAUUCCCCAUCAAAUCCUUUUAUCACCUCCCGGUCUUUCUCAAUGUUAGGAUUUCCAUAAUAGAACUCUGGAUUCAAAUAAUAAGCAGCUGCGUGCAAUGGCUGAUGAAGCUGCACGUCCCACCUAUGAUCAUUGAUACUACUAAAUUAGUCAGAGCAAAUAAGAGAUUACAUAAAAGUAAGUUGCAACUAAAUAUACCUUUUGUCGAUUAUCUUGAAAACCUCAACGUAUUUCUUCUCAUUAAAAUUAAAGGACUUCUGGAUUGCUUCUUUUGCUCUGUCCAUUGCUUCAUAGAUAUAGCCCAUAGCUGGCUUCCUCUCCCCAUCCACUAACCUGAGUACUUUGACCAAAGGCGUCGCAAUUUUGAGUGAAUAAACCACAUUAUUCCAAAAUGAUGGCAUUAAAAUAUUCCCAACUACCCGUUUGCCUGCUGCCUCUUUUGAAUAUUUGCUUUGGUUCCACACUUCAGAGACAAACAUACUUUUCAAAUUCUUUUUUUGCUUGUGAAUUCUUUUCAAAGUGAUAAAGGCAGUUGCAAAACGAGUCUUGGCAGGCCUCAAUAACUCUCUCUGUUUGGUGAAUGUCCUUAGCAUGUUAACGAUUGCAGAAUGGUUAUAAAUUGUGCAGCGCACGGCGUCCAAAACAGAUGUUCAUACUUUGCUUCCAGCAGUCGUCCAGCAAACUUAUUGUUAGAAGCACUAUCUGUCACAAUUUGCACAACAUUUGACGGCCCAACCAUUUCAACAUACUGAGAAAGCAGCUCAUAAACCUUUUGUCCUGUUUUUGAAUACGAUGAUGCAUCAAUAGACUCGAUGAAGAAGCUUCCUUUAGGACAGUUAACUAGAAUGUUAAUCAAUGUCCUCUGGUUUUUGUCUGUCCAACCAUCAGACAUGAUCGAGCAACCAUUAGCUUCCCAUUCCUUCUUGUGUUCAGCCAUAAUCUUUCUUGUUGUAUCCACUUCUCUCUUCAGUAAUGGCACUCUGACCUCGUGGUAAGUUGGUGGCUUCAUUCCUGAACCAUAUUGUCCGAUAGCCUCUAUUGCCGUAUCAAAACUAUUGUAGUUCACUGCAUUGAAUGGAAUACCAGCGUCAUACAUCCAUCUUGCAAAAGCUGUACAAGCCCUGGCCCUUAAUUCUUUCUUAACUGCGUCGUUCUCAUCCAACCUUGUCUGCCCCUUGCGCUUUUGAACCAUUUUUUCAGGAUGAGGUCUCAACAAUAAAUCAAGUGGCCCCUUCAUUUUCUGGUUUGAAGUUGAGGUACCAGAUGUCUUUUUUAGGCUCUUCUGCAGAAUUUCAAUCUCCUCUAAAUCUUCUUCUGAAUCUGAUCCCUGAUUUUCAAAUGGUAUUUUAUCCUCUUUAGCAUGCUUUUUGCCAGCCAUGUACUCUUCAAUCUCUUUUUUCACCUCUGAUGGAACUUUUGGACAGCUCUUUGCAUUUCUUCGACCUCCAAUUAAAUGUUCUUUUGCUCUAAAAACUCCUCCUGUUGUUUCUUUCCCACAGAAAUUGCACGUGAACUUGUACAAACAUGUGGGGUUUCGAGUGGCAUAUUUAUGAGCGGGAUCAGAAGCUUUGCUAGUCAUCUUUAAUUAACAAUCUGAAAGAUAAAGUAUAAGUAAACUUUAAGUUUAUAUAAUAAACUUUAAGUAUGUGCAUGUGAAUAUGUAUGGGUUAUAUAUUAUAUAUGGGGACAAGGAGCAG